AGGGCGCCGCGGAGGAUGCGUCUGUCCGGGAGGGGCAGCCCCGGGAGCCCCCCUGUGCCCUCCUCCAAUCCCAGCCUCACAGGGGGCCCUCUCCCGGGGAGCCCUCUUCCCUGGGAGCCUCGGCGGCGGCCCAGACGCACCCAGCGGAAUCCCGGCGAGGAAGGUGGCGCAGUGCAGCGUCCCGGACGAGGAGGCAAAGAACAUGCGGGCGUCGCGGAGGAGGUGCGGGGCGCGCUCGCUCAGGCAGUGGGUCACCCCGACGUGGUAGAAAACUAGGAAGCCGCUGCCCACGAAGGACAGGCUCCAGCCGCGCCCAGGGUCGUACAUGGCGGAGGCAGUUAUCUGGAGGUUCCAUGAGAUCCCAUCAUAUUUCUUGCCAGCAUGGACUGCAGACUUGUACCAGGUAUGAACCCACUCUAGAUGGGAUCCCUUGAAGAUGAUGUUUGGGCAGUCAUCUGGGUCACUGGAGAAAUUCAGACACAGAGAGACAAAGCCACGGGGAGGAACUGGAAGCUGGAAGUCAGCAGGAACCCAGAAGAGAAAGGAGAGGCCACAACCAUGUCACAGCAAAGCCAAAGAACCCACUGGAACAUUAGCAACUCCAGGAGGAAGCAAGCCUUUCUGCCUCCAACACCUUGAACCAAUAAGUUCCUGUUGUUUAAUCCAUUUUGUAGUAUUUGGCAUAGCAGCCAAGAAACUAAGACACAGAGGACAAAUAAUGCAAAAGGAAAACUGAGAGAACUUGGUGGAAGGACACUGGGUUGGGGCUGCAGCAGGUCUAGCCUGGGUGGUGAGUGAGGGUUCCUCAGAGUAUGUGACCUUGCAGUUGAGAACUGCAGGGUCAGGGGGAGGAGCAUUGCAGACUAAGCCUGUCAGGAGGAAGCAGAUAUGAGCUGGAUACAGGAACAAAUAAAAAGUUGGCAACUUCAAGGAUCAGAGGAAAGGCCCAGUGGACUGGAAGAUGGAGAGAGGAGGGGAAGAUGGAGGGAGUGUGUAAGGAAAGGGGCUGGGCAAGACCCCCAGAGGCUUGGGAGGGUGUCCUACAGAGUCUAGCUUUUAUUCUGGUUGUAAUGGGAAGCCCUGGGGAAUUUAGGCAGGGGAGUGACAUGGUCUGAUUCACAUAUUAGAAAGAUCUGGACUCCAAAGCAUGAAUAGAAUUCAGCAGGUCCUGGACCUGGAUGGAAAAGAAUGACAUCUUCAUUUUCAUGGCCCCUACCUGCAAUUUAGUCUUUCCUUCAAAUACAAAUGUAGGCAACAAAGCACAGUGGUAUGCAAAGCACCUGUGACUUGUUAUUAAUAGAAAUCACAGGCAUAUUUAUAUCACAUUACAGUUGUAGACCAUGAGAUGUUUUAUGCUUAUCACUUUGAAAUUAUGAUGUCUUAUUAUAUCUACUGUUGAUCCUAUCUAACACAUAAACAAAGAAGUACAUCUACUAUUGUAUUACAAUUAAAAACGUUUUGAUA